rnacentral:rRNA from 1 species
GCAGCCGCGGUAAUUCCAGCUCCAAUAGCGUAUAUUAAAGUUGUUGCAGUUAAAAAGCUCGUAGUUGAAUUUCGGGAUCAGUUGGUCGGUCGUGCCUCGGUACGUACUGGUCAAAUUGAUUCCUACCUUCUGACGAACCACGAUGUCAUUAAUUUGGUGUCGCGGGAAAUCAGGACUGUUACUUUGAAAAAAUUAGAGUGUUUAAAGCAGGCUCGCGCUUGAAUACAUUAGCAUGGAAUAAUGAAAUAGGACGUUUGAUUCUAUUUUGUUGGUUUCUAGGAUCGACGUAAUGAUUAAUAGGGAUAGUUGGGGGCAUUAGUAUUCAAUUGUCAGAGGUGAAAUUCUUGGAUUUAUUGAAGACUAACUACUGCGAAAGCAUUUGCCAAGGAUGUUUUCAUUAAUCAAGAACGAAAGUUAGGGGAUCGAAGACGAUCAGAUACCGUCGUAGUCUUAACCAUAAACUAUGCCGACUAGGGAUCGGAUGAUGUUAAUUUUUUAAUGACUCA